CUUUUCCUUGAAAUAAGUAAACAACAAAACAACAAAGUCUUGUACAUAAAUUUAUUUGAACCUGUUAUUAAAACUUCAUAUUUGUAAGCGUCAUGAUCAGUAACUCUUGAUAUGCAAAUUUUAUGUGACUAUCACACACAUCCAGUAAUACAUGGAAAAAUACAGUACGUAAUAUACAUGGUAUAGUAAGCCGACACAUGCACACUGCAGAGGUCACAGGUCAGAGUGAAUAUAUUAAUAAUCGUAACUGUGACGUAGGUCAAUGAAUAUAUUAUCAUCCGCUGUAACCAAGAUCAGAGUGAAUAUUUUCAUUAUCGCUAUCGUUAGCUAAGGUCAGAGUGAAUAUAUUAAUUGUCUACAUCUCAGCAUCAUUUUUCGUAGUUAUUUUAUUUAUGGCAAAUUUGCAAUUACAAAAUGUACGAUUUUGUUGAUACAAAAUUAAAUAAUUUCUAUAGUCUUUGACUAAACAAAUUAUGGGUUGUUUCAAAAUAAUCCGUUAAUGACAAAAUAUUGAUAACAAAAUCCAUAA